UACAGAGGUCCCAAGCGUUGUUCGGAUUCACUGGGCGUAAAGGGUGCGUAGGUGGCUUGGUAAGUUUGAUGUGAAAUCUCCGGGCUUAACCCGGAAAUGGCAUUGAAUACUAUUGAGCUGGAGGUUUGGAGGGGGGACUGGAAUUCUCGGUGUAGCAGUGAAAUGCGUAGAUAUCGAGAGGAACACCAGUGGCGAAGGCGGCUUUCUGGCCUGUUCUUGACGCUGAGGCGCGAAAGCUAGGGGAGCAAACGGG
rnacentral:rRNA from 1 species